rnacentral:rRNA from 1 species
AGUGGGGAAUCUUGCACAAUGGGGGCAACUCUGAUGUAGCGACGGCGCGUGAGCGAUGAAGCCCUUCGGGGUGUAAAGCUCUUUCGGCAGGGACGAUUAUGACGGUACCUGCAGAAGAAGGUGUGGCUAACUACGUGCCAGUAGCCGCGGUAAUACGUAGGCACCAAGCGUUGUUCGGAAUUACUGGGCGUAAAGAGUGCGUAGGCGGUCGGCCAAGUUUGGUGUGAAAUCUCCCGGCUUAACUGGGAGGGUGCGCCGAAAACUGGCUGGCUAGAGUGUGGGAGAGGGAAGUGGAAUUCCUGGUGUAGCGGUGAAAUGCGUAGAUAUCAGGAGGAACACCUGCGGUGUAGACGGCUUCCUGGACCGUAACUGACGCUGAGGCACGAAAGCGUGGGUAGCAAACAGGAUUAGAUACCCUGGUAGUCCACGCCCUAAACGAUGCGAACUUGGUGUGCGCUCUUCAUUGGGUGCGUGCCGGAGCUAACGCGUUAAGUUCGCCGCC